AACAACUUCCCUUCAGCUGAUCGCACGGAAGAAAGGAAUGUUUGUCAAAAGAAUGAAUUCAGGCGUUCUUUUAAAAUGAAGAAUAUAAAUAGCUUCAGCCUGAAAGAUCACACAGUCUUAAAUGAUUCUCAACAUAUAAGAUCAUAUGUUUUUGUGAGUUGGACGUUGGAGAAUCGGUGUCCGAUCACAGUCACUGUGACGUUUCGUGUGAUGAAACAUGGAAAGAAGGUGGACGGCUAGCUGUGAUGUCCCCUGCGGAUACUGUUGACGAACGGAAAUACGAGCUAGGUGGCGGCAGUAGAGCAUUUUGUCCAUACCUUGUAGUAGUUUCAGUGCAUGUAACCUGAAUGUAACAGCAUAGAAAUGAGGAAAAGAAAUGGGACUGGUGCAUUUGUUGCCAAUUCAAAAGCUGCACAUAGUUGAAGCCAGUUUUGUUGCAGAAUGGCAAAUGUGUGGUACUGGUUGGAACUAUGAAAGAAAUACAGGUCUUAUGGUGGAUCAUCAUCCGUUAAUAGCAGGUAAUUAGCAGCAGUUUUACAGAAAAAUGAAGGAUACACAUGGCUGCCAAUGAUAAAUGCAGAAUCAGAACGUUGCCCAGGCCACUUUACUCUGAAAGUUGGGAAAAAAUGUGAACAAGAAAUUGAAGAGGCAAAGAGAUAAACCAGAAAUUACAGAAUUUAAAAAGAGAAUAAUUGAUAAUAAAAAUAAUAGAUGUGACAUUUCACAAAUGAAGCGAGCAAAACUGAUAUUUUCUUUUCGUCAUGCCACUUAUAUGAUAUAUCUGAAUGACAGAGAAGUUGAAACCUGUACUAUUCAACAUGGAAGGAUUGACGAUUCUGACAGGAACAAAGUGAACUCUAAAUAUGCUUAGUAUAAUGGCUAUCAAUCAGUAUUUGACUGAAUCAAAGGAGUAAACUAUACAAAAUAUAAGAGUCUAUAUUGUUGCUUAAUUAUUGAGUAAAUGGAAAGUAUGUAAAGAUACAGUUGACAAAAACAAUUAUUUAUCAUCAAGAUUCUCUCAUGAUCCAGUGUUUACCAAAUGAAAUAACGAAUGAGGAGGUCAUAUACAGUUAUCUGUUGAGUAAACAAGUAGGAGAUGUGAUCUCUGACAUAUUGCAAAUAUCAGCUGACAGGUCAAAUCCUCCUACAUUCCAAAAGGUUACUUGGUACGAAUCUAGUCUACAAGGCCGGGGCAACACGACGGGUACACAACUUGUGCCAUCAGUUAACUCAACAUUAAUCUUAACAGUGAAAGCAACAGAGGUUUCAUGUAAAGACAGUGCCAAAUUUAUAUGUAAAGUUGUAAUUUCUGGUGGACGAACUGAUCACGAUUCUGCUCAACUGAAUG